rnacentral:misc_RNA from 1 species
GAUGAAGAACGUAGCGAAAUGCGAUACUUGGUGUGAAUUGCAGAAUCCCGUGAACCAUCGAGUUUUUGAACGCAAGUUGCGCCCGAAGCCGUUAGGCCGAGGGCACGUCUGCCUGGGCGUCACAUAUCGUUGCCUGAUGCCAGUUUCCUCGUGAUGGGUGACUGUGCAGGGCGAAUGAUGGCUUCCCGUGAGCAUUGUUGCCUCAUGGUUGGUUGAAAAUUGAGUCCUUGGUAGGGAGCGCCGUGAUAGAUGGUGGUUGAGUGACGAACGAGACCCAAUCAUGUGAGACCCCUACCGAAUUUGGCCUUCAUGACCCACAUGCGUCUUUGGAACGCUCAUGACGAGACCUCAGGUCAGGCGGGGCUACCCGCUGAGUUUAAGCAUAUCAAUAAGCGGAGGA